rnacentral:rRNA from 1 species
GGUUAAGCGACUAAGCGUACACGGUGGAUGCCCAGGCAGUCAGAGGCGAUGAAGGACGUGCUAAUCUGCGUAAAGCGACGGUAAGGUGAUAUGAACCGCUACAGCCGUCGAUGUCCGAAUGGGGAAACCCGGUGCACUCUGUGCAUCAUUGCAGCAUGAAUACAUAGUGCUGCAAGGCGAACCGGGGGAACUGAAACAUCUAAGUACCCCGAGGAAAAGAAAUCAACCGAGAUUCCCCCAGUAGCGGCGAGCGAACGGGGAGCAGCCCAGAGCCUGAAUCAGUUUGUGUGUUAGUGGAAGCGUCUGGAAAGUCGCAGGGUACAGGGUGAUACUCCCGUACACAAAAACACACAUGCUGUGAGCUCGAUGAGUAAGGCGGGACACGUGGUAUCCUGUCUGAAUAUGGGGGGACCAUCCUCCAAGGCUAAAUACUCCUGACUGACCGAUAGUGAACCAGUACCGUGAGGGAAAGGCGAAAAGAACCCCGGCGAGGGGAGUGAAACAGAACCUGAAACCGUGUACGUACAAGCAGUGGGAGCCUUGAUUUAUCAGGGUGACUGCGUACCUUUUGUAUAAUGGGUCAGCGACUUAUAUUCUGUAGCAAGGUUAACCGUAUAGGGGAGCCGCAGGGAAACCGAGUCUUAACUGGGCGUUAAGUUGCAGGGUAUAGACCCGAAACCCGGUGAUCUAGCCAUGGGCAGGUUGAAGGUUGGGUAACACUAACUGGAGGACCGAACCGACUAAUGUUGAAAAAUUAGCGGAUGACCUGUGGCUGGGGGUGAAAGGCCAAUCAAACCGGGAGAUAGCUGGUUCUCCCCGAAAGCUAUUUAGGUAGCGCCUCGUGAACUCAUCUUCGGGGGUAGAGCACUGUUUCGGCUAGGGGGCCAUCCCGGCUUACCAACCCGAUGCAAACUGCGAAUACCGAAGAAUGUUAUCACGGGAGACACACGGCGGGUGCUAACGUCCGUCGUGAAGAGGGAAACAACCCAGACCGCCAGCUAAGGUCCCAAAGUCAUGGUUAAGUGGGAAACGAUGUGGGAAGGCACAGACAGCCAGGAUGUUGGCUUAGAAGCAGCCAUCAUUUAAAGAAAGCGUAAUAGCUCACUGGUCGAGUCGGCCUGCGCGGAAGAUGUAACGGGGCUAAACCAUGCACCGAAGCUGCGGCAGCGACGCUUAUGCGUUGUUGGGUAGGGGAGCGUUCUGUAAGCCGUCGAAGGUGUGCUGUGAGGCAUGCUGGAGGUAUCAGAAGUGCGAAUGCUGACAUAAGUAACGAUAAAGCGGGUGAAAAGCCCGCUCGCCGGAAGACCAAGGGUUCCUGUUCAACGUUAAUCGGAGCAGGGUGAGUCGACCCCUAAGGCGAGGCCGAAAGGCGUAGUCGAUGGGAAACAGGUUAAUAUUCCUGUACUCGGUGUUACUGCGAAGGGGGGACGGAGAAGGCUAUAUCAGCCGGGCGACGGUUGUCCCGGUUUAAGCGUGUAGGCGGAGGGUCCAGGUAAAUCCGGUCCCUUAUUAACGCUGAGGCGUGACGACGAGGCACUACGGUGCUGAAGUGAUAAAUGCCCAGCUUCCAGGAAAAGCCUCUAAGCAUCAGGUAACACAGAAUCGUACCCCAAACCGACACAGGUGGUCAGGUAGAGAAUACCAAGGCGCUUGAGAGAACUCGGGUGAAGGAACUAGGCAAAAUGGUGCCGUAACUUCGGGAGAAGGCACGCUGGCGCGUAGGUGGAGGGACCUGCUCCCCGAGCCGAAGCCAGUCGAAGAUACCAGCUGGCUGCAACUGUUUAUUAAAAACACAGCACUGUGCAAACACGAAAGUGGACGUAUACGGUGUGACGCCUGCCCGGUGCCGGAAGGUUAAUUGAUGGGGUUAUCCGUAAGGAGAAGCUCUUGAUCGAAGCCCCGGUAAACGGCGGCCGUAACUAUAACGGUCCUAAGGUAGCGAAAUUCCUUGUCGGGUAAGUUCCGACCUGCACGAAUGGCGUAAUGAUGGCCAGGCUGUCUCCACCCGAGACUCAGUGAAAUUGAACUCGCUGUGAAGAUGCAGUGUACCCGCGGCAAGACGGAAAGACCCCGUGAACCUUUACUACAGCUUGACACUGAACAUUGAGCCUUGAUGUGUAGGAUAGGUGGGAGGCUUUGAAGCGCGGACGCCAGUCUGCGUGGAGCCAACCUUGAAAUACCACCCUUUAAUGUUUGAUGUUCUAACGUAGGCCCGUGAUCCGGGCUGCGGACAGUGUCUGGUGGGUAGUUUGACUGGGGCGGUCUCCUCCUAAAGAGUAACGGAGGAGCACGAAGGUCAGCUAAUCACGGUCGGACAUCGUGAGGUUAGUGCAAUGGCAUAAGCUGGCUUGACUGCGAGAGUGACGGCUCGAGCAGGUGCGAAAGCAGGUCAUAGUGAUCCGGUGGUUCUGAAUGGAAGGGCCAUCGCUCAACGGAUAAAAGGUACUCCGGGGAUAACAGGCUGAUACCGCCCAAGAGUUCAUAUCGACGGCGGUGUUUGGCACCUCGAUGUCGGCUCAUCACAUCCUGGGGCUGAAGUAGGUCCCAAGGGUACGGCUGUUCGCCGUUUAAAGUGGUACGCGAGCUGGGUUUAGAACGUCGUGAGACAGUUCGGUCCCUAUCUGCCGUGGGCGCUGGAGAAUUGAGGGGGGUUGCUCCUAGUACGAGAGGACCGGAGUGAACGCACCACUGGUGUUCGGGUUGUCAUGCCAAUGGCAUUGCCCGGUAGCUAAGUGCGGAAAAGAUAAGUGCUGAAAGCAUCUAAGCACGAAACUUGCCCCGAGAUGAGUUCUCCCUGACUCCUUGAGAGUCCUGAAGGGACGUUGAAGACUACGACGUUGAUAGGCCGGGUGUGUAAGCGCAGCGAUGCGUUGAGCUAACCGGUACUAAUGACCCGUGAGGCUUAACCUU